rnacentral:rRNA from 1 species
CCCUUAGAUGUUCUGGGCCGCACGCGCGCUACACUGAUGCAUUCAACGAGCCUAUCCUUGACCGACAGGUCCGGGUAAUCUUUGAAUCUGCAUCGUGACGGGGAUAGAUUAUUGCAAUUAUUAAUCUUCAACGAGGAAUGCCUAGUAGGCGCAAGUCAUCAGCUUGCGUCGAUUACGUCCCUGCCCUUUGUACACACCGCCCGUCGCUCCUACCGAUUGAGUGUUCCGGUGAAUAAUUCGGACUGCAGCAGCGUGGGGACUCCUCAUACUGCAGCGGAAAGUUUGGUGAACCUUAACACUUAGAGGAAGGAGAAGUCGUAACA